UACCUCAAAAUUGCGCAACAGUCUGUUUCAUCAGUAACCACAACCAAAAUGUUACUGAUGAAACAGACUGUUGCGGAAUUU